AAUGGCCGCGGUAAUUUGACCGUGCAAAGGUAGCAUAAUAAUUAGUCUUUUAAUUGAAGGCUUGAAUGAAAGAUUGGAUGAAAAAUAAACUUUAUUAAUAUAAAUUAUUUAACUUAUCAUUUAAGUAAAAAUUCUUAAAUAUAUAAGUGGGACGAGAAGACCCUAUAGAGUUUUAUUUUUAUUUAUAUUAUUAAAUUAGAGAAUUAUUAUUUUUAUAAUAUAAAUAAAUUUUUUAUUGGGGUGAUAUUAAAAAUUAAAAAACUUUUAAUUAAUAUUUCAUUAAUAUAUGUAUUUUGAUCCAAAAAUAUUUUGAUUAUAAGAUUUAAUUACCUUAGGGAUAACAGCGUUAUUAAUUUGAAGAGCUCUAAUCGAUAAAUUAGUUUGCGACCUCGAUGUUGGAUUAAGAAUAAAUUUUGAAGUAGCAUUUAAAAUUAUAGGUCUGUUCGACCAUUAAAUUCUUACG
rnacentral:rRNA from 1 species